rnacentral:lncRNA from 1 species
AAACAGUUCGGCUUCAUGUCAACGAGACCAUUUCGACCUUGAAAGUGUGUGACUGGAAACCCUCUACAGAAACCGGCGCCACGAUUUGGAUCACGAAGAUCCGGGCAGCAGAAUUCAGGAGAGGUGCUCGCCGCAGAGAAGGGCUCCGACACAAUCAUUCUGGACACUUUGGGAACAAACUGCAUCCAUUUGUUGCAGUUGGGACAUGUGGACAUUCACAUUCCAGCGGUGAGAACGGUACUGAAUGAGGAACGGAUUUCGUUUCGAAUUAUCGACGAAUUUCGGUUGAGGUCAUCGCUCUGCUCUUUCUUGGGGUUCCAGGUGUGAACGGAAAUCUGCCGCGCUGAGGAAAACGAGACGUUAUAGAUAUGGUUCAUAAUGACAAGCUCAUGAAUUCUGUCCGGAUGGAGGGAUUUUAACUACAGCCGCUUCUGCUCCGAUUUUCGGAGCACCAACUGGCUCAUGCGCCAUUGGUAAACAAGGGAACGAUGUCAGUAGAACGCGAAACCCUUGUCAGCUUACAUGCGGCGUUUACACUCAUGUCACUGAGUAAAUGAGCUGGACACGGCGGCUCGUGGAGAAACACACGUGAUGUGCUUUUUUUCCCAGAUGCUUUGUUUCGGAAGUGCUGACCGCAAGCAUCUCCUCAAUUUUCCUGUUAUUUUCACAAAA